rfam:Cavia porcellus supercont2_20 genomic scaffold, whole genome shotgun sequence.
UCAUUGGUUUUUUUAGAAACCACACAUGGAAUUUCCAGAUGCAUCU